rnacentral:rRNA from 1 species
UAGUCCUACGGGACGCAGCAGUAGGGAAUCUUCCACAAUGGACGAAAGUCUGAUGGAGCAACGCCGCGUGAGUGAAGAAGGGUUUCGGCUCGUAAAGCUCUGUUGGUAGUGAAGAAAGGUAGAGGUAGUAACUGGCCUUUAUUUGACGGUAAUUACUUAGAAAGUCACGGCUAACUACGUGCCAGCAGCCGCGGUAAUACGUAGGUGGCAAGCGUUGUCCGGAUUUAUUGGGCGUAAAGCGAGUGCAGGCGGUUUCAUAAGGCUGAUGUGAAAGCCUUUGGCUCAACCCGAGAAAU